rnacentral:rRNA from 1 species
UACGUAGGGUGCGAGCGUUGUCCGGAAUUAUUGGGCGUAAAGGGCUCGUAGGCGGUCCAUCGCGUCGGGAGUGAAAAGCUGGGGCUUAACCCCAGUCCUGCUUUCGAUACGGGUGGACUAGAGGUAGGCAGGGGAGAAUGGAAUUCCUGGUGUAGCGGUGAAAUGCGCAGAUAUCAGGAGGAACACCGGUGGCGAAGGCGGCGACCUGGGUCGAGACUGACGCUGAGGCGCGAAAGCGUGGGGAGCAAACAGG